rnacentral:misc_RNA from 1 species
GUUUUCUACUAUCUGAAAUUUAAGUUUAUUGUAAGUAUCCUUUGGUAUGCAUGAGCAUGCCAGCCCAAACUCUACACGUCUUGAAAAUUCUUCUAAAGCACAAUCAACAGCAUUCUGGAAUGCUUCAGAAUUGCUCUGCUUCUCAACCUGGGAGAAAUGAGACCUGAAAGGCUUUAGCAGAGAUGCCUCAUUCCAUGCAAAUGUCCGAUCCCCAAAAUAUGCUACCAAAAAACAAUCCUUUUUAUGAUACUUCGCUGCUUUCUCAGAGGCAUCUGAAGGAUCAAAUAUCUGCCCAGGCCACCAUGGAUGGCUCCUCACUUUGCCCCAGACCAAAUCAGAUACAGUGAACUCACCUUCGACAUCUGGUGGUACCUUAUAACUAGCUUGAUGUUCUAUUACACUGCUUCUGGAAUUUAGAGCUACUUCUUUAGCAGAUUUCUCUUCAGUGGUAUUUAGCAGUUCCGAGUCAGCAUCCUGUUCUUCAGCUUCCAUUUCUUGCCCUUCUUGCAACCCAACCUGAUCAAUAAAAGCAUCAUGCUCUUCAACCACUGUUUCUGUUGCUGCACUUGAUUCAAUCUCAGAAACAUCACUAUCUGCACUCUCAUCCAAUCUUCUUCAACCGUCAGAUUCUGAUUCCCUUCAGGUGGCCC